CCCAACACAUUUUCUUUUUAAUUCCUGUUCUCCCUUUCUUUCGCCUACCCACACACAAAAACACUCACAGACGCACACACCCAGCUGCGCGUCGCAGCACUCCCUCUUCUCCCUUAUCUCCUCCGGCAGACGACAGCAACGCCGACCUCCGGCCGCCGCCGUCGCCGCCACUCCUGACCUCCCUCUCCCUCGCCCUUACCCUCUCUUUCUUCCUCACCUAUCCAUCGCUCGACCCUCUCUCUCCCUGUCUCGUCUCUUCCCCGCGCACGGCCCGGCUGCUCCUGCAACUCCGGCGGCCGUCGCCGCCGCUUUUCCAGCUGGUCACCACCUCUCCUUCCUACUCUGACUCUCCACGCCUCAAAUCCCUAAAAUUCCCUUCUCCCUAAAUCCCUAACUUUCUCCUCUUCCUCUUUUCUCACCCACGACAACAGCCAACGGGCGGGUUGCUGCCGCUUCACCCUCCAUUCACGGUGAGAAUCGCC
rnacentral:lncRNA from 1 species